AAUAAUACUAUUCGCCAACAAUAUCAGUCCAAUCUUCCCUAAUUUCUCUCCCAUUACCCACCGCUCCAUCUUCCCUACCUUCUAUGCCCUACAUCAGUCAAAUCUUCAUGUUUUCUCUUUAUUCCUUAUUGGAAGACCACAAUCGUCUAUGACAACGAAGAAAUCACGCCCACGGUCUCUGGAAACGAUGAAUCCGCACCCACUAAUCUUGGUUCGAGGUUUUCACGGUAUAUAGGUUUUGUUCAUCUGCUUCGUGGCUUUAUCACUGACUUCCUCUUUGUGUUCGAGAGCUACAAGAUAUGUAACCACGGAAUAGUAAACUUAAAUGAAGAAGAAUACUUGGAAUUUGGUGAUCAAAAAAUCUUGGUCAAACCCUAGCUAACUGGGUGAGAUAUGAAUUAUACGAUAAAUAAACAGAUUAUGGAGACCUAGCAAAAGGGGAAGAUGAUACACAAGAUUAUGAUGGUAUAUAUCUUCCUUGUUGUAUGUGGUAUGUCCCAACAUCCAUCUCCCUAUAUUGGUUUCAGUUAUAAGAAGUAGUUUCCAGUGACCCGAAAGGUGGAUGCAAACUGAUUAGGAUUACGGCUUCAAUGUAAAGCCAUUUGGUCUGAUAUGUUGCCUCCUAUUAAUCUGUGUUAUCCUUCAUCAGAUGCACUCAUGUUCAAGGUCAAGAUUGUGUACAAAGAAACCUGAAUCUUUAUCGCAUCCUUGGGUUUUUUUAAUGAUUUUUGGUUGAAAGUGAUACUAAUGAUGUAUUUGAAAGCUUAAUUUUUUUUUUUUGUUAUCUAUAUUAGCCAUUUUAUUAAACUUCUAUUUUGCAAUAACAUUGUCUCUUUAUACUUUCUCUGAAA